UACGGAGGGAGCUAGCGUUGUUCGGAAUUACUGGGCGUAAAGCGCGCGUAGGCGGCUUUGUAAGUUAGAGGUGAAAGCCCGGAGCUCAACUCCGGAACUGCCUUUAAAACUGCAUCGCUUGAAUCCAGGAGAGGUGAGUGGAAUUCCGGGUGUAGAGGUGAAAUUCGUAGAUAUUCGGAAGAACACCAGUGGCGAAGGCGGCUCACUGGACUGGUAUUGACGCUGAGGUGCGAAAGCGUGGGGAGCAAACAGG
rnacentral:rRNA from 1 species